ACCUCUCCUCGCCACCGUCCACACCGUACAACGUAAACGUAAUAUAGCGUGUUUACAAUGUUGCGGGCAUAUUAAAUGAACUUGUGUACGUAUUUUGUUUUGCUUUGGUUACGAACUCCAAUUAUUAAAACCUCUUUAGAACUGUUACUGUCUUGGGAGCUGUCUGACAUCCAAGGACUACGACCUGAUGAAGCACGUACUUUACGCUUCCUUAAGCUUUCAGUGGGACCAAGAGUUGGCCGCAGUAGCUGUUUGAAUCUAAAAGGUCCAUCAGUGUAAUCUUCGUCUGAACUAAACACGGGUGUUGCGAGCAUUUCUGGUGAAUUUCGAAGUAUUUUGCGCAGAUCUGAUUCCGGAUCAUUAGCUGAAUUGUAAACAGGACGGGGUGGAGGUGUAUUUUUUUGCGUUUGCUUCACAAGUUGAUUAAUUUUGUUACUGAAAACGAAAUAUUCCUAAUAAAUUAUUGGUAUUUUA